AGUAAUACAUAAGUAACCUGCCCUAGACAGGGGGAUAACUAUUGGAAACGAUAGCUAAGACCGCAUAGGUACGGACACUGCAUGGUGACCGUGUUAAAAGUGCCUCAAAGCACUGGUAGAGGAUGGACUUAUGGCGCAUUAGCUGGUUGGCGGGGUAACGGCCCACCAAGGCGACGAUGCGUAGCCGACCUGAGAGGGUGACCGGCCACACUGGGACUGAGACACGGCCCAG
rnacentral:rRNA from 1 species